CCCUUAGAUGUUCUGGGCCGCACGCGCGCUACACUGACGGAGUCAACGAGUUGUCCUGCAUCGGAAGGUGUGGGUAAUCUUUUGAAACUUCGUCGUGCUGGGGAUAGAUCUUUGCAAUUUUCGAUCUUGAACGAGGAAUUCCUAGUAAGCGUGAUUCAUCAGAUCGCGUUGAUUACGUCCCUGCCCUUUGUACACACCGCCCGUCGCUACUACCGAUUGAAUGGUUUAGUGAGGCCUCGGGACUGGCGCGCUCGAGUAGCAAUACACCUGCGCGCCGGGAACUUGGCCAAACUUGAUCAUUUAGAGGAAGUAAAAGUCGUAACA
rnacentral:rRNA from 1 species